CUCCCCGCGCUUCCCGAGCGUGGUGGGGCUCGUCCGGGGACCCGCCGCGGCCCAAGGGGCGCGGAACAGGCGCAUUGGCCUCUCGUGCAGCUGCGGGGAACUGAGGGACGGCGAAGAGUGUCCGAGAUCAGGGCGAGCGGAGCCGUGCGAGGAAGCGCGGCCAGAUGCAGGCCUUGGGGGGCUGUGGAACAGGGUCCUUGCGGCGGGAGGCGAAGUCAGAGGUGGGCAGUGCAGGGCUUCACGCCGUGUCUGCAGGACCCUUCCGCACUCGGGGCUGCCGGGCACGGGGAGGAGGCAGCUCCCCUGCUCAGGUCACAGCUACUGCCACUGCCACCGCCCUGCCAGCCUGCGCUGGGCGGAUCUGCACUUGCAGAACAUUUAACUGCUCUCCGCUUGCAACAUUUUACACGUUUUUGCAGUAAUCCAGAUAAACAAGAGCCUAUGAGGACUGCUUCUUCCUCCUCCCUCACAGAUUGAAGACUCCAAGGAAAAAAUCAUCCUGAUUAUUGGAGGAGUCAGAUAUGAGACAUACAGCAGCAUUCUUUGGACCUUCCCAGGGACCAAGCUGUGCAGUCUAACAGAGCCUCAUGCCCCAAGAAUCUACGACUAUGAUCCCACCGCCAAAGAGUUCUUUUUUGACAGGAGCGCUGAGAUAUUCAGCUCUGUGUUGAACUGUUAUAGGACCGAACAUUUCCACUGCCCCAUUGAUACCUGUAAGUCAGUCUUAGAAGAAGAGCUGAUUUUCUGGGAAAUAAAUGAGAUAUAGCUAGCACCCUGCUGCUGGCUGAAGCUGAAUAACAAAGAGGUGCAACCAGAGGAAUAUAACAUUUGUGAUGAAGAUGAACAAACUGACGACCAAUGCCUCAUAGUCCAGACAGAAAGAAGGGAUUUCAGCUGGUGAACCAGGUGGCAGCCAAAGAUUUGGUCUAUAUUUGAAAAAACUUUUUCUUCUUUCAGUGCUAAGGUAAUACUAUAAGUGCAGAUGGACACAACCUGUGUCCUUUGGGAUUACUGGAAUGGGUCCAUGAAAAAUGCUAAUGGGUUCAUAUCUUUGGUAGGUAUACUUUUAGUCCUGGAUUAAAAAAGAAAAAAUUUUCUUCUCACUAAUAGACACCUUAUUUUUCUCUCAUUCUCUUGUCCCUGUUCUCUACACAAAAUGCAUGCCCCAUACCUCUUUAAAAUGUCAGGCAUGCAGAACAAUAAACACAAAUCAGAGACUUGCAGAGGAUGUUUUCUGUGCUGCUGGUAUUUCUGGAGCCAACAUUUAAUGCUGAAGAGGCCCUCAGUGUGAGUCUGUCCACACUGCUCCAGCUGUUGGAGUAUUUCCUUACAAAUGCCAAUAUAAGAAUUCAGAUUUUUUUUAUUUGACUCCAAUCUUCUCUAUUAUUUUUCAAAUCUGGAAGGAGAAAAUACACUCCCAUGUGAACUGAACAAUGUUGAUUUGAGAAAGAUUAGUCUGGGAUUGUAUUGUGCCUGUGGAGGUGGUCCUGGGGUUGUGGUGGGGCAGUGAGGUUAUAUGAUACUUGUUUGUUGAUUUAUUUAUAUAUGUGCCUUUUCUUCCCUCUGAAGUGCUUGGCUUUUGUUUCUCUACUGUUCAUCGUUGGAAUUGUCAUCGUAUUCUGCGAGGAGACUAAGGCACAAUUUGAGUUCUUUACUCCUAGCUUGACCUCUGUUGAUGAUUCUGAGGUCUUCCACAAUGACCAGGAACCCUAUUACCAGCAGACUGCCUACUUGGUUCAUCUGGAGCUAAUUUAUGUCCUCUGGUUUACUUUUGAGUUUUCUGUGCAAUUUUGUUUCUGUCCAGACAAGAAGUCGUUCUUCCAAAAUCCCCUGAACAUGGUUGACUUCUUCUCCCUCUUCCCAGUAUAUAUGAAACUGUUUAUGACUGGGCAGAUUCAUAGAGCACCAAGCCCGGGGCUUUGGUUGGGUUUUGUUUGCAUUGUCUGUCUCAAACUCCUGAAGAUAUCCAAGCUGAUAGAAAUGCCACUGGUCCUCAGGGUUCUGUGCUACAUCCUCAGAGAGAUUUGCAUCCUGCUGAUGAUUUUGGCCUUUGAGACCCUCUUCUUUGCCUCUAUCUUCUUCUAUGGGGAGUUGCUAGGUAGCCAUCCUUCCUACACAGGGGAGCUGCACUUCACUGACAUUCAUGUUUGCUUGUGAUGGGCUUUAAUCACACUCACUACCGUGGGCUAUGGAGAUAUUAUCCCUCUCACCGCAGCUGGUCAAGUGACAGCAGCCUUAGCUGCAGUGUUCAGCAUGUUAACCAUUAUCAUCCCAAUACCCAUUUUCCUGGUAAAAUGUAAAAGCUAUUAUGGUGUUGCUAUCUUCAAACAGAAGCUGAAGAGAAGAAAGAAAUAUUAACAUUUCGGAACCUCUGUUUCCGUUUGCUUUUAGCAAUAAACCUUCAGCACGGUUUAUUUCCUUUGGUGGAAGGGGAGUGCAAAUAGUUCUUACUGCAUUUACUUGCCUUAGCAUAUUUCAAAUAAUUGGUGAGCUUGCAGUACUUGAUACACAACUGAUCAGAACUGUUGAAUCUCAUGGGUCUUUCCCAUACUGUACUUUUUAUGUGCCACGGUUUCUCUGUCCCCCCUAGCUAUUCAGAGACAAACUGCUUUACAGCCUAGAAUGUGCCCCACAGCACCCAGUUCUAUGAUCUGAGCUCACAGCAUAUUGCCUUAGCUGGCAAACAACUCAUGAUGUUAUCUCUGCCCUCCGUUGCCUGACAGACCAUAAUGUCAUUUUGCAUGCUGGGAAAGACGAUCUGUGCACGGUCCUGCUCUGACAGCAGUGAGGAGGCAUGGGUUCUGAUUGGCUAUUUUUAACAAUGUUCUGUUUCCUUGUUUUAUCUAAACAAGCCAGUACAUCUGAUAUGCCAGAAUCAGAUGUACAUGUAAAGAAGGCAGCAGGCUGAACUGAAUACCUGUAGGCCUAAAAGCCCACACUUUUGGAUAACCUGCCUUGAGGGCUCACAAGUAUUGCUGUGGCAUCUUGGUAGCAGCAAGGAGAGCCCUCUGACAGCAAAGCCCUUUUGUAUCUGCCAGAGUCAAUGGGAACCUCUCAUUGACCUCAGUGAGAUGAAAAUUUCAUCAGACACUUCCAUUGUAUCAACACAUUUCUGCAGUUUUUGAUUUUUAUGUAACAGUCACUGAGCUAUUAGCCAAAAUAUCUGUGUAUUUUUGCUGUUCAAAAAGAAGUACAUCAUCUACAGUACUCCAUAUAAUUUUAAUGUAAUUUACUUUCUUAAGGCAUAGAUAUAAACUAGGAAUAUUUAUCUUUUGACUGGAUAGGCUUGUUACGUAUGUUUAAUUUUGAAAUAACAAAAGUUUUUAAGGUAUAAGAAACCCCCACGUCCCAUUGUUUAUAUAGCAGAGUGAUGUGCUAAGAUUAUUUUUUUCAGUAAGUAAAAAAAUCUGUAUGCAAUAACAGUUAUAUAUUUAAAUUUCAUCAAGGUUGUUUAAUUGCAAUUUUGAUUAAAUUUUGUCGCUAUGAUUUUUCUGUUCAGGAUAUCAUUUUAAGGCUACUUUAUUUGUAUUGAAACACGAGGUAACUUCCCUCUGUUCUAAUGCAAUUACAGUAUGUUUUUGUCUAAAGUGAAAUUUAAAAACGCUGCAAACACAACACAAAGCACAUGAGAAGCUGGAGAGACAAUGUCAGUUGAUAAUAUGCUUUUAUUUUGAAUCAGAAUAAAAAGUCAGAAGGUGGA